GCGGGUUGGGCUCGAGUUUUAAUAUUUUUAUCCAAUCGGGCCUGGGCCUAAAAUUUUUGUUAAGUCCAGCCUUGCCCAUGGACACCUCUAAAUGGGAUGAAUACAAAUAAAAAAGGAAAACCUUUAUUUAUAGUUGACCUCUCUCAAAAUCAACAGUACAAAUUGAGUUACAUUGACGGUCAAUAUUAAAAGUCUAUCUACAAUUGAGAAUCCUAUUAGAUUUAAAUUCUAUGCAAUCUUAUCCCUUUAGGAUUUAUCCUAUUUACCUUGGUAACUUUAGUUUGAUUGAAGUAUUUCAUUGGGCUGCCAAGGUUUCAAGUAAAUAGGCUUCUCUAUGGAUUUCACGAAUCGAAUCAAUUCAUGCGGGUCAAAUGGGGCGUUCUGUAUACAAUGGCCAGGGGCUUUGAUUCGCGACCUAUGACAUUCUCCCCCACCCAUUCUCGCAAUGCAUUUGUUGCAUCAUCGGAAUGAUACUGACUUGACUCGCCUUGGAACUUUCUUGAUGCCUUAGUCGAUUCCUAACUAGCCUCUCUGUCAAGUGGUCCUACCACUCGGAACACUUACCUCGACUUCCAUAGUCUUCUAACUCGAAUUAUUUCUCCUUUUUGGUACUUCUCGUUUGCAAGAGUCCACCAAUCUUACUUGCCCACAUUGUGACUUGCCCUGAUCAAGAUCCCUUUGAUUCGAACAAAUAGGAUUUGGCACAUCCACUUUGAGCACUUGGUUAACUUUGAGUCUCGUUAUUAACUUUGGUUUAUAAGCCCUUUGGUUUACCAGCUUUAGAACUUAGAAAGGGUUCCUGUGUUCUUGCCAAGCCAACAAGUCAGAAUGAAAAACACUACCAAAGUGUUUGAAAUAUACCUCACUCGUUGCAUUUAUUCGUCUCAGCUAUCCAGUUUGCAUCGCCACUUUUCCCCUAAAGUCCGAUGCACAACCCAUCUCUCUCUUAGGUGGUAGCUCCGCUAAUAACUCAACAAACUUCAAUCAAUUCGUUGCCGUCUAGCAUUUCCAAUAUGGUCUCUGUACAAGCCCAUUUUUGCCCAGCCCAAAACCCAAAUUUUUACAACCCAAAACACAAGGCCUAAGUGGCCCAAAAUCUAAAUUGGCCCAAGCCCAAAAACAACUAAAACAUUUCAGCAGCAGAACCUAAUCCCUUACCCUAGGGCGCCGCGGCCCUUGCUACUCCCAUGUGCCUCCAACGCGCACCACGCCCGAAGUCUGCCACCUCCAGUCGGCCUUUCACCAAAACGGCAAGUUGACCUUACCAUGUACCUACAAAAAGAGACAAAAAUGGAAUCAAAAAACGUGAAGGAACAGUGGUAGAAAUGAAGCCAAAAUAGUAGACAAAAGUACCUUGUAAAUCGGCUUUAUAGGCCCAAAGAUCGAACAAUGUAAGGGAGAUGAGAUUAAUACAAAAAAAAAAGAACAAAGAUUUUAAAAAGGUUGAAAACCUGAUCGUUUUUUUGGUUUCUCUGUUUUCCGUUUUCUAUUUUUAUUUUAUCUAUUUAUUUAUUCAUCUUUUUUACAAAUCGGUUUUAACAAAUAAUAGAAUAGAGAAAAGGCGAGGGAAAUCUUACCUGCAUCUCGCGUUCGCCGUCGCCCCCAUCUGCUCUGUCAAAAUCGGAGUCGAAAGGGCCUGCUUCUUGGCUGAGAACGGCGAGAGACGGCCUGGGCUUCAAUCGGUUCCAGGGAACUGAAAAUAGAAUAUGGUGGCUUAGGGUUUAUUCUUCUUUCCCUUUGUUUUCUUAAAGAACGGCAAAGCAGUAGGCAGAUUAGGGCAAUUUGAGAUUCUUUUCCUUUUUUUUAAUAAAAAAACGGCGCCGUUUAGCAUUAAUAAACAAGGGCCGACCCGCGCACAGUCCCGAUUCGGCCCCAGACCCGCGUGUUUUAUAGCGCGUGGGAAAUUUUCGCGCCAGAUCCUCCCUUUUUGCGCUAUGGUUCAAUAUAGCCCUUUUUUUUAUUUAAUUUUGACCGCACAAUUUCCUGCUAGUUCCAUUUUAGUCCAUUGAAACGCAGCACAGGAGGUCAAUGGGAUAUUUUCCCGAUUAAUCCCUGCUUUACUUUGCGCAUUUGAAAUUGGUCCCUUUAUUUGUUUAUUUUAUUUCUAAUUUAUCCUGCUAAUUUAAUUUAGGCUGCAAUUAAGCCCUUUCUCUUAAUCCUUUAUUUGUUUAUUUAGUUAUUUGUUUGUUUAUUUAUAUCUUUAUUUGAAAUUUUGUUAUACACGGACAUACACAUUUUUAUAGUAUACACACACAUAUUUUAUGUUAUAUAUUUAUACAUACACAUGUGUUUCAUAUUUUAUAAUUCCUAUAUAUAUAUACAUAUAUUCUUUUUUUUCUUUUGUAUAUACUUUAUAAUCUUAAGAUAUAAGUAUACCUAUAUACAUUUUAUAAUGGACAUAUGUACAUAUUUAUAUUGUUUUAUUUUGAAUAUACUUACAUAUUUUUACAAUUAAUAUAUAUACAUACUUAUAUAUAUUUUUAUACUCUAUAAUCUAUAUGCAUUUCUCAUUUUAAUAUAUAUAUGUAUACACAUACAUCUUUUAUAUUUUAUAAUUUUAAAAUAUACAUGCAUACAUAUUUAUCCUUGGUUUUAUACUUCUAAAAUAGAUAUGUACAUACAUACAUUUUCACAAUAUAUAUGUACACUAAGAUACCUUUUUAUAACUUAUUUAUAUAUACAUAGAAACUCAUAUAUCUUUUUAUUUAUAACUUAUUUAUAUGUACACUAAGAUACCUACUAACACCAUACAUCAAAAAGAAACUUUCAAAAUAAGGCAAUAUUUCGCGUUUGGAAAUUCGAGAAAACGUGCCCUAACGUGCUGGGUUUCAAUUUCUCGUUUGACCAAAUAGCAAAAUAUCCUUUUUAAACUUUCAAAACGAGGCAAUGUUUUGUGUUUGAAAAUUCGAGAGAACGUACCCUAACGUGCUGGGUUUCAAUUUCUCGUUCGACCAAAUAGCUAAAUAUUUUCUUAACUUUCAAUCAAUAUUAUUCGAGUUUUCUUUAAGGAUCGUAUUCUUAAAAUUCUUCAAAGUUUUCAAUCUUCAACACUAAGACACUAAUUAAUCAACUAGAUACCAAUUUUGGGCGCAUCGAGGGUGCUAAUCCUUCCUCGUGCGUAACCGACUCCCGAACCCGUUUUCUGGAUUUUUGUAGAUCGAAAAAUGAUGUUUUAAUAAAUCAAACUAUUUAUUAAAACCUUCAAAUUGCAAGGUGAUCCGAUCACGCCUUAUCAAAAAAGAUUGGUGGCGACUCCCGUUUUUAGUUUUCAUUUUCAAAAUCUAAGUCGACCCCAUUUUAUCAAAAAAAUGGUGUCAACAGUCUCCUUAGCAUUCUAUCGAUUUACCGAGCCAAUGUUCUUUCCUUUAUGAACAUCCUCAGCUAGUUCGAUUGCUAACAAUACCUUUGUUUUGCCACUCAUGUCUUGACUCACCAACACAACACAUUGUUGUUAUCGAGUAUCUAGGAUACACAUACUGUCCGCAAAAGGAACCAAAAGAGCAUUAAUCUCGUCAAAAAAAUUUAAGCUAAGAAAAAAGUCGUAAUCAUCCAAGUGAAUUACCUCGAAAUCUUCAUUUCUUUUCCAUUGACCAAUCUGUAGCUCAACUCCUUGUGCUACUCCCACAGUUGAGACCCCUUUAGAAUUAACAGUAUCGAUCUUCUUAGUUGGUUUACUAACUGAGAAACCAAGUUUACCUGUGAUUUUUUUUCUAUAAACAGGUCUAAUGCCCUUAUAUUAAUAAGAACACUCUUCAUUUUACCUACGAUGUUGAUAUCCACAUACAUUAACCCUUUCUGCUUACAAUCCCUCUUCGCUUUCGCAGAAUUGAGUAUCAUUAACCCAAACUUCAAUACCUUACUCUCAACAGGCUCCGCUUAUUUUUUAUUAGUUGUGGAUAUAUUGGAUCGCUUUGGACAGUCUCGCAUCCUAUGCGGACCACAACACAAGAAGCACUUUGCUGGAUUAUUCUCAGUCUCGCAUCCGUGCACGGUGGCCGGAAAUUCGAAAAGGUCAAUUUUUUUCUCUUUUUUUUAUUGUUUGUAUUAUAUUGUUAUUUUUAUAUUUUUUAGUAUAUAUAUGGGAAAAUAGAACAAAAGACAAAACAAGAAUAGAUUUACAACCACCUUAGGUUUCCGAUUCUGAUUUUUGACUUGUUGAUUCACUGAUUUUUGGGUGUUCGAAUCUCUGCCUUUUGAUGUUAAGAUCGUAGUAUUUCGGAUAUCAAUUGUUUGCUUUUUGGUUAAGAAAUCGAAAGAGAGAAGAGAAAAAAAAGGGUCCCCCCAAAAUACAACCGAUUCUUCCCUUUGAAAUCUCCAAAAAAAAAACAUAAAAAUCCCCCUCUAUUACAUUCAGAUCUGGCAUUUAUAGCCAUUUCAAUACAAUAUUUUAAAUUUCUUGCCAUUGCUUCCUGCCGUCUGCCUCUGUCUUAGUGUUUCUUUCUUUUUUUGUCUUAUUCUGCAGGUGAUGGAAAUCAACAGGUGGGCGCGCAUGGAGGAGUUGGUGGGAGUGUCAGACGCGUGGGGCGUGGUGGCCAAGGCUGAGGGGCAUGGUGGCCGACAUGGUGGCAUGGAGAGCUGGGGUGCCAGGGGUUUGCUGCUGAAAAACCUUAAGCAAGUGGGCUGUUAUUUGGGCUAGGGUUUAUUUUUGUUGGCCCGUUGGGUUUGUUUUAUUUUUGGGUUGUUGUAAUUGGUUUGGGCUUGUUAUUUGGGUACUAGGCUGUUUAGGUUAGGGUAGGUUAGUUGGGUUUUGGGGGCCCAAAAUUGGCCUGUACAGCUGCCCCUCUUUGCUUAUUGUCGUGUAACGAGAAUAGAGCAAAGACACAAAGAAAGGCCAAUUUUGUCCCGUCUUGUUGAGUAUUGACUUCAUUGGUGCUCUUCUUAUGCAAAUAGUCUUCUUCCAGUCCAUCGUAUCUUGUAGCUUGGUCCAUUGCAUCUUCUGAUAUAUGCCUUGUAGCUUCAACCUAUUUCAAUGUAACUUCAAAGAUAUGAGAUAUGUAACUUUGAUCUGCUUCCAUGCUGCUUCAGAAAGAUGAGGUCUACAGCUUUAAUCUGCUCUUCAAUCGCUUCUGUGAGAUGAAAUUUGCGAUCUUCUCUUUUGUAACUCUAGCAAGGUAAGAUCUGAUAUUCUCGAUCAGCUCCACUGCAACUUCAGGGAGUCAAGACUUGCAACUUUGACCUGCUCUAUUGCAACUUCAGGGAGGCCACAUUUUGUGUCUUUCAUCAACUUCAAUCUUUAUUCUUACUUGGCAUGUGAUCUUGAGCCCAACUCAUUUCUCGCAAUAUGAAUUGACUCUUUAAAAACAGACAUUAAAAACAAAAACUAAAGAUAUCUCAACAUGUGAACUGAGGCUCAACUCACUUUUCGCAAUAUGAGUUGAUUUUUUUGACAACAGAAAUUGAAAUUACCUCGGCGUGUCCCGAGGCUCAACUCAUUUCUCGCAAUAUGAGUUGAAUUUUGAAAAGCAGAAAUUGAAAAUACCUCAACGUGUCUUGAGGCUCAACUCACCUCUCGCAAUAUGAGUUGAUUUUCUUGAAAAGCAGAAAUUGAAAAUACCUCAAUGUGUCUUGAGGCUCAACUCACCUCUCGCAAUAUGAAUUGAUUUUUUUGACAACAGAAAUUUAAAUUACCUCAGCGUGUCCUGAGGCUCAACUCAUUUCUUGCAAUAUGAGCUGAUUUUGGAAAAGUAGAAUUUGAAAAGCAUAAAUUGAAAAAGCGAAAAAUUGAAAAUACCUCAGCGUGCGAGCCGAGGCUCAACUCACCUCUCGCAAUAUGAGUUGAUUUUUUUUUUGAAAAGCAGAACUUGAAAAUACCUCAACGUGUCUUGAGGCUCAACUCAUUUCUCGCAAUAUGAGUUAAAUUUUUUUUUUUUGAGAAGCAGAAAUUGGAAAAAAAACAUCUAUUGAAAAUACCUCGGCGUAUGACCUGAGGCUCCAUUCACCUCUAACAAUAUGAAUUGAUUUUUGAAAACAUAAGUUAAAAAACAGAAAUGGAAAAUACCUCAGCCUGUCCUGAGGCUCAACUCACCUCUCGCAGUAUGAGUUGGUUUUUGCCAAACAGUAAUUGAAAAUACCUCAGCGUGCCCCGAGGCUCAACUCACCUCUCGCAAUAUGAGUUGAUUUAGAAAACAGACAUAAAAACAGAAAUUGAAAGUGACUCAACACGUGAGCCAAGGUUCAACUCACCUUUCGCAAUAUGAGUUGAUUUUUUUUUGGAAGUAGAAUUUGAAAAUACCUCGGCGUGCCCCGAGGCUCAACUCACCUCUCGCAAUAUGAGUUGAUUUUUGAAAAACAGAAAUUGAAAUUACCUCAGCGUGUCCUGAGGCUCAACUCACCUCUCGCAAUAUGAGUUGAUUUUUGUAAAACAUAAAUUGAACAGGAAUUGAAAAUACCUCAACGUGUCUUGAGGCUCAACUCACCUCUCGCAAUAUGAGUUGAUUUUCUUGAAAAGUAGAAAUUGAAAAUACCUCAAUGUGUCUUGAGGCUCAACUCAUCUCUCGCAAUAUGAGUUGAUUUUCCUUAGAAAGCAUGAAUAUUAAACAUCAAAAUACCAAAACCAGUCCUUUGGUAGAACUCGGGUAUCUUUUCCUUUGAUUCAGUGCGACUCUCAUUCAAGAUUUCUUGCUUUACUGGAUUACCUGUAUAUGCCAUGCAUGAUGUCAUCAUGAUAUGCACAUGUUUGUCUUAAAUGCCUUUAUGCCUACAUGAUUAUGCAGUGCUCCUUAAGCAUAUUGGUCGUAUGUCAUUUUCGCCAUGAUUGUUGAGGAUCUGUGUUCAUUGCUUUGAUUCUCGACCUUCUCUUCAGGCCUCAUACCUGUCUUCGAGCUUUACGAGUAAUCGACGUUUCUCAGAUAUCACCCUUUUGCCCUUGGUUAAACUUUGUUCUUGCUUUGAAGAUCUUGCACUUAUCAAAUUCUUAUCCGGGUAAUGCUUGACAUUUCUUUUGUUUAGAGUAUGUCAUUUCACUAUUUAUCAUUAAAUAAACACAUAAUGAGAUGCAUGAAAAUGGUCAGGUAGGGACACAAAGGAUAUCUCAUAUUCCUUUAUUUCAAGUGUGGCAAACAAAGAAAGUUAACCAAUGAGAGUAAAAAUGUCAAAAAGAAAGAAAAUGUCAUAUUCAACGGAUACAAAUGCUCUAGAUAUUCAACACAUGAACUCUUCUACGUUCCUCAAUCAAUAAUCUUUUCGAGCAUGGCUUCUUGCGUAGAAAAUUUCGAGCUUUCAGAAGUGCUUCAAAUACUGUAGUCUCACUACUUGACCUAUCGUUCGACCGCCAGGUUUGUUUCAUUAGGACACCCUCUCGGGUUUUCAUCCUAAUCUUUUUGUACUAAUCAAGACGCCCUUUUCGGGUUUUCGCCCUGAUCUCUCUUUUUUUUUAAGAUGCCCUUUUCGGGUUUUCAUCUUAAGCAUAAUAUUUCUUCACCGCAUCUGAACUCACCGGAUUCGGUAACUCCUUCCCAUCCAUCUCGGUAAGGAUUAAAGCUCCUCUUGAGAAUGCCUUUUUUACAACGUAUGGUCCUUCCCAAUUUGGUGCCUAUUUUCCUCGCAGGUCUUUUUGUACUGGGAGAAUCUUUCUCAGAACGAGUUCUCCUUCAUGGAACUCUCUUGGUCGUACCUUCUUGUCAUGGGCUGCGAUCAUUCUCUUUUGGUACAUUUGCCCAUGACAAAUUGCCCUUAGACGUUUUUCUUCAAUGAGGUUCAACUGAUCAUAUCGAGCUCGAACCCAUUCUGCUUCUUCUAACUUUGAUUCCAUCAAUACUCGCAGAGAGGGGAUCUCAACCUCGAUAGGUAGCACAGCUUCGAUUCCAUAGACUAGAGAGAAAGGAGUUGCUCCCGUAGAUGUUCGCACAGAUGUGCGAUAUGCAAACAAAGCAAAUGGAAGUUUCUCGUGCCAAUCUUUAUAUGUCUCAGUCAUUUUCCCAAUGAUCCUCUUAAUGUUCUUGUUAGCUGCUUCAACAGCCCCGUUCAUCUUUGGGCGAUAGGGUGAGGAAUUAUGAUGCUUUAUUUGGAACUGCUCGCACACUUCUUUCAUCAUCUUCUUGUUCAGAUUCGUGGCAUUAUCUGAGAUGAUUCUUUCAGGCAAACCAUAUCGGCAAAUGAUUUCCUUUUUCAAAAACUUACACACUGCAGUCUUCGUCACGUUGGCAAACGAAGCAGCUUCAAUCCAUUUUGUGAAGUAAUCGAUAACCACAAAAAUGAAUCGAUGUCCAUUUGAAGCUUUUGGAGAAAUUGGCCCUAUGACAUCCAUGCCCCACAUAGAAAAAGGCCACGGAGAAGUCAUGACAUGAAGGGGUGAAGGGGCUACAUGAAUUUUAUCGCCGUAGAUUUGACAUUUGUGGCAUUUUCUGGCAAAAUUGAUGCAGUCACUUUCCAUUGUCAGCCAAUAAUAACCGAGUCUCAUGAUCUUUCUGGCCAUAUUGAAACCAUUGGCAUGCGUUCCGCAAAUUCCCUCAUGGACCUCUUCAAGUAUUUUUCUGGCUUCAACAUCAUCCACACAUCUCAAAAGCAUUUGAUCCUUUCCUCUUUUAUACAGGAUAUCCCCAUCAAGAACAAAUCCCGCUGCCAUUCUUCUAAUUGUUCUUUUAUCGUUCUCAUUCGCUUGUUCGGGAUACCUUUGAUUCUUGAUAUAUUCUAAGAUAUCAUGGAACCAAGGCCGUCCAUCUACUUCUUUCUCAAUGCUACAACAGUGUGCAGGGACCUCGUAUAUGCUCAUUUUGAGGGGCAUUAUUUCUGCUUCUCUACUUGCUUUGAACAUUGAAGUCAAAGUGGCUAGGGCAUCAGCCAGUUGGUUCUCUUCUCGUGGGAAGUAAUGAAAAGUUAUUUCUUUAAAUUCCUUGAUCAAUCUAGCCACUAAAUCGCUGUACUUAAUCAAUUUUGAGUCCCUCACUUCCCAUUCUCCACGGAUUUGGUAAAUCACUAGGGCUGAGUCCCCGUACACCCCCAAGAUCUCGAUGUUUCGUUCGAUAGCUGCGCGAAGCCCCGUGAUACAGGCCUCAUAUUCUGCGAUAUUAUUGGUACAGAAGAAGUUCAGUCUUGCAGUGAACGGAUAAUGAUUCCCGUCUGGUGAUACCAGGAUUGCUCCAAUUCCAUGCCCUAAAGCAUUUGACGCACCAUCAAAGCAUAUCUUCUAUGACUUCUCUUUUGAUGACUCGGAUUCUAUUUUUGUGAUACACAUUAAGUCUUCGUCUGGGAAAUCGAAUCUUAAAGGCUCAUACUCCUCUGUCAUUCGAGUUGCUAAGAAGUCAGCUAUUGCGCUCCCUUUUAUUGACUUCUGACUUACAUAGGCAAUGUCAUAUUCCGAAAGGAGGAGCUGCCAUCGUGCCAUUCUUCCUGAUAGUGCCGGCGAUUCCAUCAUGUAUUUUAUUUGGUCCAGCUUUGAAAUUAGCCAUGUCGUGUGAUACAACAUAUAUUGUCUGAGUCUCCGAGCUACCCAAACCAGAGCGCAACAAUAUUUCUUUUGCCUCAUAUUUAGUGAACUUUUUACUGAGGUAGUAGAUCGCCUUUUCUUUCUUUCCUGACUCGUCAUGUUGUCCCAGUACGCAACCCAUUGAACUUUCGAACACUGUCAGAUACAAAAUUAAUGGUCUUCCCGGAAUUGGCGGUACUAGCUCUGGAGGACUGGACAAAUAUUGUUUUAUCUUAUCAAAGGUCACUUGGCAUUCCUCGUUCCAUUCUCCCGGGUUAUGUUUUCGAAGAAGCCGAAAGAUUGGGUCGCAUUGGUUGGUAAGUUGAGCGAUAAAUCGGGCGAUGUAAUUUAAUCUCCCUAAAAAUCCUCUAACUUCCUUUUGCGUGCGCGGAGGUGGUAAUUCUUGGAUGGCUUUUAUUUUAUCUGGAUCAACUUCGAUACCUCUUUCACUGACAAUGAAGCCUAGCAACUUUCCUGAGGUAGCCCCGAAUGUACAUUUGGCUGGAUUAAGCUUUAGCUGAAACUUUCUCAGCUUUUCGAACAACUUAUUGAGGUUCAUUACAUGCUCUUCUUCUCCUCGAGAUUUAGCAAUCAUAUCAUCGACGUAGACCUCUAUUUCUUUAUGCAUCAUGUCAUGGAAUAACGUCACCAUAGCCCUCUGAUAUGUUGCCCCAGUAUUCUUUAACCCGAAUGGCAUCACCUUUUAGCAGAACGUUCCCCACAUUGUUAUGAAGGUAGUUUUCUCCAUAUCCUCAGGGGCCAUCUUGAUCUGAUUAUACCCCGAGAAUCCAUCCAUGAAAGAAAACAAUGAAUGUUUUACUGUGUUGUCCACCAACGUGUCAAUAUGUGGCAAGGGAAAAUUAUCUUUUGGGCUUGCUCGAUUCAGGUCACGGUAAUCCACGCACAUUCGUACUUUUCCAUCUUUCUUUGGUACCGGGACUAUGUUAGCCACCCAUUCUGGAUAUUUGGAGGCUUGUAGGAAGCCAGCGUCAAAUUGCUUCUUGACUUCCUCUUUUAUUUUCAACAGCAUUUCGGGCCUCAUCCGUCUUAAUUUUUGCUGGAUGGGCUUGCAUUCUGGCUUUAAUGGGAGCUUAUGGACCACUAAAUCUUCAUCUAGCCCUGGCAUGUCCUGGUAUGACCACGCAAAAACAUCUUUGUAUUCGCGGAGUAAAGUGAUCAAACUAUGCCUGGUACUUUCUGAAAUAGAAGUCCCAAUCUUCACUUCUUGUUUCCUCUCUUCAGUGCCCAAAUUUAUUGUUUCCACAGAUUCUUCAUGAGGCAGAACCUGUUUAUCCUCUUGUUCCACCGUUCUUAACAAUUCAGGAGACGAGACAUAAUCUUCAGCAUUUUCUUCGGCUUCAAAUUCACCUAAGCAAACAGCCUUCUCAAAAUCAAUUUUAAGAUUCGUAACGGGCUUAUUCAUGUCGUCAAUAUCUGAGCACCUGAAAGUUGAAUGGAAAAGGAAGCUAUCAGGGGACAUCCAAGUAUUGGAAACAACAAACAAAAUGUUAUGUCAUGGCAAUGAGGCAAAUGUAAGGAUAGGCUAUGAAAUGAGAAAAUGAUUAUGAAAUUAGUGAUAAUGCGAAAAAUCGUGACAAAAUGCAUCUUCAUUGAUAUUCACUUAAAUGAUAAAGAGCGAAUGCAAGCUCCUACAAAAAAAUUCCAUUAUAUCUAAGGACACAAUAGAAGGUUGAUGUUUAGCAUUACUCUGAAGGCUUAUAAACUACAAGAAGCUCCUCAGCAAUCCAAUUGUUCAACAUGAAACCAGGAGGGCAAGGGCGUAUUUUACUUGCACCAGCUUCUUUGUCAAUGACAUUUAUACUGACAUUCUGAGAAUCCCUUUCAAUUAAUCUCAGCAUGUUUCGUGGAUCAUCUUGUCCAGGGUACAUCAUUCCCGCAGAUGUAAAUGUUUUUGACAAAGGAGGGUACUCUAUUGGUUCCCAUUCUGGUUCUCGGCCCAAAGUUCUUGCAAUUCUUCUCUCUUGAUCCUUCUUCCACUGUCUUCUUCUUUGGCGCAUGUCAGGCUGGAACCCCAAACCGUAUCGGGUCUUGUGGUGCACUGGCUUUAAAGCCCUCACUAUUCCUUGCAGAUGUCUCCCUAAACCUCUUCUCGCACGAGCUCCCCUUCCUACGGUCAACUUGACACCCAUUCUGGUAUUUCUCGACAGUUUUGGCAUCGGAAUUCUAUUUCCCUCAGCGACGAAAGUGGCAUUGAUGAAUUCAAGGGAUCGAAAGGAACAUUCCACUGCGUCCUUGCUUACUUCCAAGUAUGGCGCAUCAGCAGAGAUAGAUGCGACGAUGUCUUCUUCGCCCUCAACUGUGACCAAACAGCCAUCCAUGAUGAAUUUCACCUUUUGAUGGAGGGAUGAUGGGACUGCUCCAGCAGAAUGAAUCCAAGGUCUUCCCAAAAGGCAGUUAUAAGUGGGUGUAAUGUCCAUGACUUGGAAUUCGACCUCAUAGAUGUAAGGGCCCACUUCUAAAGGGAUUUCGAUCUUUCCCAUGACUUCGCGCCUCGUCACGUCGAAUGCCCUUACCGUGGAAUGACAGGGCUUUAAGUAGGACAAAUCCAUCGGUAUUCUGGAAAGUGUAGCCAAUGGCAUAACAUUUAAUGCUGACCCAUUAUCGAUGAGUACGUUCGGUAUUAUGUAGCCCUUGCAGCGGGUCGUGAUAUGCAGCGCUUUCACCGAGCCUCUACCAUUUGGCGGUAUCUCAUCAUCACUAAAAGAGAUGAAGUUGUCCGCAUUCAGAUUGUUUACCCACCUAUCAAGCUUUUCGACAGAUAUGUUGUUGGCCACGUAAGCUUGAUUUAACACCUUCAAUAAAGCGUUCCGGUGUGACGCUGAAUUUAACAGUAGAGAUAGAACUGAGAUUCGUGCUGGCUGCUUGCUCAAUUGUUCCACCACACUAUAUUCGUUGUGCUUAAUAAAUUUCAAGAAUUCUUGAGCUUCUUCCUUAUUCACAGGCUUUUUAGUUUCUUGCACGGGUGGAAUUUCUUGCUCUACUUCGACCUCGUGCAUCACUGCUUUCCCUUUUUGCUUCGAGUCGCUACUUUUCUUUACCGGUUCAACUUCUUUAGAAUAGCAUCGUCCACUUCGAGUAAAAUGACCUACCUCCCCAACAUCUUCAAUUAUGGCUUUGGACUUUUCAACUUCCGGUGUAACGAUAUUAACAUCAUAUCUCCACGGUACUGUUUUGUUAUCCUUAUACGGGAAAGGAGAUGGUACUUCAAUUACCAUCUGUGGUUUCAAUGGCUCUCUCAUCGCGUCGUAAUAAAUUACCAACGGUCGAUCAGCACUAUAAUGGGGCCCUGAUGAUUGGCUAUCAGAGACGCAUACUUCUCUUUCGUUGGCAUCUUCACUCUUGUUAAGGACCUUGAUCUCCUUAUUAUUCAUCCGGUCUUGAAGUAACCUUUUAAAGUCCUCGCACGACUGAAUGUCAUGUCCAACAAUCCCAUGAAAAUUGCAAAAACUUUGACCUUCUUCUCCAAAAAUUCUAUCAGAGUGACAGAGCAAUCCUUUCUUAACCAAUACCUCCCAGAUUUUCUGUAGAGGCGUCCUUAUUUCUGAUACACAUCUUCUGACCUUCCAUUCAUCCUCUUUCCCCACUGUACUCACAUUCCCUUCGGUAUGGUUAGAGAACGGGUUCCCCGUGGCGUUACUAGCACUAUCGAAUCGCAGGAUGCCCGCGUCAAUGAGUCCUUGAACUCUCCUUUUGAAAGCGAGACAGUUCUCAGUAGAGUGCCCUUGGUUCCCUGCGUGGUAUGCACAACUAGCGUUUGGAUCAUACCACUUUGGGUAUGGAGGUUUAAGGGGUGCCAUGUAAUGGGGAGAAAUUAGCUGUUUUUCUAAAAGUCUUGGGUACAAUUCCCUAUACGACACAGGGAUGGGGGUAAAUUGCGGUCUCUCGGGAUUAUGCCUUGAUUGGCUUUGGGCGGGUACCGUGUUUUGUGAGAAAGUGGUGACGGGUCUUUGGUUGUUCGUGGCGUAUACGGGGUAGGACGGAUGUGGUGCUUGGUAGUAAGGAGUUUGAGGGGGAUAAUAGGAAUUCGGGGGUGGAUAAUUUCGAGGUCGGGGUUGGUUAGGAUACGAAUUGGGAAUGUAACGACUCCCAGUUCCCACAAUGUGGGCUUCUGGCUCUUUCUUCCUUAAGGGUGUUGCUUUUCUUGAGCCUUCUGAUCCUUCCAUUCUACCGCUCUUGACGGCAUUCUCUAUGAGUUCACCGGAUAUUACAAUAUCCGCGAAAUCUUUCGUGGCACUUCCCACUAAUUUGUCAUAAAAUGGUGCCUUUAAAGUAUUGAUAAAGAGAACGGUUAUCUCCGUUUUUGUUAGUGGGGGUUCCACUUGAGCUGAGACGUCUCUCCAUCUCUGCGCAUACUGUCUAAAGGUCUCUGAUGGCUUUUUCUCCAUCAUUUGCAAGGUCAUACGGUCUGGCACCAUAUCCGAUACAUGCUUGUACUGCUCGCAAAAUGCUGACGCCAAGUCCAUCCAGGAUCGAAUCUUUUCUCUACUAAGUUGAUUGUACCACCGAAGAGCUGACCCUGUUAGACUAUCUUGAAAGUAAUGUAUGAGUAGUUUAUCCUCGUUCACAUAACCGGUCAUUUUUCGACAGAACAUAAUGAGAUGUGCUUUUGGGCACCUUGUCCCAUCAUACUUCUCAAAAUCAGACACUUUGAACUUCGGAGGCAAAAUUAGAUCAAGUACCAAACUGAGUUCCUUGGCACCUAGUGCGGAGAAGACUUCAGUGCCUUCUAUUGCUUUGAGUCUUUCCUCUAGACUCCUAUAUUUUGCGUCAUGGUUAUCCAAUUUCAACUUGGCUACCUCUGCUGGGUCAUCCAGAUCUGGAACUAGUGGAUUAGCAGGAUUAGCCCCUAGGUUCGACGCUAACAUUCCUUGCCCCAAAUUAGUGGGUGGAGCAGGUGGCAUAGGUUGAUGUUCCAAGCCAGUGGGUUCCUCUUGAGUAUACCCUCUUUGUAUUGUAUAUGCGGGCGAUGGAGUGAAUCUCGGGGGAUAGAGUGGAUCCUAAUCAUGGUGAAUUCUUGACCGAGGUUCUAUAACAUCGGAGUUCUGCAUGGGUCCUUUUCCUUUGACCAAAGUUGUCAUCAUCUCCAUCAUUUUAGCCAUCUGAUCUCUUUGCUCGAGCGAUUCCUCUCGAGAUCUCACCAUUAGGUCUCUCGUCUCUAGUUGCGAUUUGGCCAGUUGUUCUUGUAACUCCUUUUGAGCCAUUUCCAUCCUUUCAAUUCUCUCAUUGAAUUCAUUCUCCAUUACUCUAGCUUGUCGGCGCGUUUUAUACGGAUGACGUGGUUCCAGUCUUGAAGUCUUGCAACUGCGAAUUGUACGUUUUAACCUCAGCGAACGAGUAUGGGAUAUGCAAUGAAUGAAUUGAUGCAUGAAUGUCAAAUGAAUGUCAGUCAUGAAUGAAAUGCAAGAAAUUGGUGUUGAUUUCAAGAUAGCCCCAUAUUUAGGCAUUUCAUUUAUCAACAUAGUCUAUUACACAAAGUUCUCAUUUUCCCAACAGUUACACAAAUUUCCUAGCCACAUUGCGUUGUUUCUUCACUUGUUCUAAAAACUCUGAUAUGCUCGAUCUUUGGCUCGGAGGGAAUUGGCAACUGAAAACUUUGGCUUCAUCUGAUAAUUGAACAACUUGCAUAGCCGCUUUACGAAUUUCAUUGAUCAAGAAGUCAAGUUGCAUUUAUUUUUCUUUGAGAGUUCCUUCAUACGCGUGAAUGUCCCUAUCGUACUGCUCACUCUUUUCUUCUAGAGCCUUCAAGAGGUUAUCUAAUUGUUGUUGACGAGAUUGCAACAUAUUUUCUAGAUCUCGUGUUUUCCUUUUUAAUUCUUGAUGUUCAGACUGACUAUUCGCCAAUUUUGCAGUCACUAUUUCAUACUCGGCGUUCUUCCUUCUUAACUCUAUCACAGCGCGCGCAGCCUUUUCCUCCUCUUUCUUUGCUUUUCCCUUCCAAAACUCUAUUCCUCCCUUGAUAUUGCUAAUUUCUUCCUUCCAUUCUGCUGUCGACUUGCCCAACCUGCUAUUCUUUAUAGUGUUUCUUAAUUUCUUGUUUUCCAAAUGAAGGUCCCUUAAGUCGUUUCUCACAAUCUCGGCUUCUCUUUGUACUUUUUCAGUCCUGGACCUUUCAACCUGAACCUCAAUCUUUAGUUGAUAGUUUUCUUCUUGAAGGGCACUAAGGUCCCGAGACAUCUUGGCCUUUUCUCGUUCGAAUUCUUGUCUUGCCAUUUCUAGCUCAGACGGCGUUUCCUCCGAGAAAGAAUUCUGGAUGGUGUAGUUUGUUGAUGAGAUUUACUGACUAUUUACCCGUUGCUUCCUCCAUAUGUCGUAAUCUUGGGUAAGGGUAUCAGCAUACAAAGCUAAUUCCAUGAAAUGAAUUUCCUUCCAAUACUUUGCAGUGUCUCGGACUCUCUUCAUAUAUCCUUCACCCGCGAAAGCGAACUCGAACUGUGCUAAUCCUCUAGUUGCAGGGAGGAAUUGUCACGAAGAAAAUUGCCUUUGGACUAAUAGCGGAGCAUAUCCAACUCCUCCCCAUAACCCGAGUAAAGGUACCCAAUCUUGGCUUCCACAUUUGUAUAGCAGAACUGAAGGACGGAUCCAGGGUGCUCUCCAUGUUAUAUUCUCGGCGCGAAGAUUCUGAAAAACUGAUACCCAAUGUUGCUCGGUGACUUCCUUCGGCCAUUCUUUAUUGAGGUAAGCUUCUAGCGGGGAGAAUGUUUUAGAAAACAUAUAGAACGGAGUGCGCUCUACCUUCUAGAAGUGACUCAAAAUCCAAACAUUGAGCAACUGCGCACAUCCGAUAAAUCGUCCCUCCCCUUUUCUUCGACAACUACUCAGGGACCUGAAGGUCUCGGCUAGGAUGGUCGGGACAGGGUUGAUUCCUUGUUUUAACCUUUCGAAGAAAUCAACUACUGCAACUUCGAGAUGUCCGAGAACUUUUGGGAAAAUGACCAAACCAUAAAUGGCCAAAGCGAAUAGAUUUAGCUUUUUUAGCAUGUCGGGAUGGUUCAGAGCCAAAUCUCGUAGGGAGGACCAUGGAAUGCAAAUGGUUUCAUUCUUCUUCUUUAUCUAUUUUUCGGCCCAUGCAUCAGUCAUGUCUGUCAGUCUCACUAACUUUUUCUUGAAGGUCAUCGGCUUAGGCUCCUUCACAUAUAUUUUGCCGAAUUGUACAUUGUCGAUGCGGAGUAAAGCAGCAUACUCUUCUAUGGUUGGAGUCAUGUCUUCUUGAUUGAAGGUGAAACACUGAUAAGCUGGGUCCCAGAACCGAACCAUGGCUUGAAUCAACUGUUCGUCUACACGGAUGGUGAUCAGGUGAGCUAUAUCUCCAUACCUCUCAGUGAAAAUGUCUCUAGUGUCUGAAUCCCACUGAUUCCAAAUUCGAACCAAAUCCUCAAAGUUAUUUUGGCGAACAUUUACAAUUAUAUGUUCGGGCAAAUUAGCGACACACCCUUCCACUAGACUAUCCCCCUUUUCUCUCUGAAUUUUUAGAGACCAGUCCCGAACCACGGCAUUCUUCUCGGUUAUUUAUGUAAUUGAAUCCUCCAUCAGAAACCCGUUUUUUGGCAACCAACUUUUAAUCAACACCUUCCUAAUAUGAUGCUUAUGAUGCAUGAUGAAAAUAAAAAUAAAAACAAACAAACUUGGUUAGUAAACACAACGAAUAUAAUUUGAAAAACAAAUUAAACUACCCAAUCCAAUUAUUUUGCAUAAACAGUGUAAAUGAAAGGCAAAAGGCAUUUUCCCUGUGUACUUAUUUUGAUGACUAUAAGCGGACAGAGGUUCGGCAUGGCUCUAAUUGGAUAGCUCGUAUGGUUCAUUAUAUGUGGUUUUGGUUCUAGAUAGAUACUCAAAUUGCCCGUACUAUCAUCUGCUAAGAUUAACACGGAGCCUCGGUCAUAGCCUAUCACAGGCUUACGAGAUCAAUUCGAGGGAUUACAUUUACUUAUGCCUAUGCGGAGGGACAAGUUAACUCACGAAAGCAUAAGUCAUAUGUAACCCGAAAGUAUUCACUAGCCUGUGCGGAGGAACGAGUUAACUCACGAAGGCGUAGCGUUUACUUUCUCUUAACAGGGACGGAGCCCGGGUAUAGAGCUCAUGUUAUGCAACAAAAAUGCACGUGCACGGUGUGUGGGGAGAAACUUGUAAACCUUUACGUUUUAUUUAAAGAAACUAAACCAAAAUUAAAACCAUAAAAAUUAAAAACUGAAAAACAACCAAAUAAGCAAGUUAGAAGAAAUAUUUACAGCACGAUACAAAUGCAUGAAUUUUGAAAACGAGAUUUUUCGGAUCAUGACCAAAUAUUUACUUUGAACAAGGAAAUUUGAAAAUUUUGACAAAAUGUGUUUAAUUCCAGACACGACUCUCAACAAGGCGGUCCCCAGUGGAGUCGCCAGCUGUAGCGACGUAAAAAUUUUGAUUUCGGUCGCUAAUUGUGGCGAUCUAGUGAAAAAGUUUGGAAACUGAAGUUCGAUUUUAAAAUAAAGAGAGAGUCGCCACCGAUCCUUUUUCCUAGGUGUGAUCGGACACCUAUUAGAUUCAUUUUUUAAAACAAAAGGAAGGCUGAAUUUAGGUCUACGUUAAAAGCCAGAGAAAAAUUAGGGUUCGGGAGUCGGUUACGCGCGAAGAAGGUAUUAGCACCCUCGCGACGCCCAAAAAUUGGUAUAUCAUAAACACAUGUUGUCUUAAUUUUCAAAAAUGCGAAUUCAAUGUAAAGUUUAGUCGUGAUCCGAUUAAAAAACAAGAAAUUUUAGUUUAUUUCGGUUUUUUGAGAAGGAUAUGCCGUUUUAACACGAGUCAAUUGACGUUCACCCAACAUAGCGAUGAACUCGAUGACUUAAUGUUAAAUCGAUACAUUUCCUUGUUUAUUGAAAUUAAUUAGCAAAACAAGUAUAUGAUUUUCGAAAUAAUGCAAAGUAAAUUGAUAUGAAAUAAAAAUAAAUAAAUGAUAGGGCUAGGCAUAUAUUGAAACAAAUAACCAAUGUGACAAUAAUAUUAAAAUAAUAAAGAUCUAUACGACAUUUUAGCGCAAUACUAGAAUUAAACACGAAAUAGAAACAAUGAAUAUAUACAUAAGAUGGUAUAAAGAUAUGUACAUGGAAAUGUAUAAGAACUAUAUAUAACUAGUAAUAUUAAAAAUAUAUAUAACAUAUAUAGAACAUAUACAAUACGUACAUACCUUAGAAAUGAUAAUAAUAAUAAAACUAUUUUGUACACUACACAAAUACAUACACACAUAUAUAUAUAGAUAUAUAAACAAUAGUAUUAAGAAUAUACAAUAUAAUAUUAGAAACAUGUAUAUAAUAGCGUAAAAGAAAAAUAUGACAAGUAAGAUUAAAAUAUAUAUAAUAAUAAUAAUAUAAAAAGUGGAUAAAAUAUAAUGAUAUAAAAAUAAAAUAAGAAUAAAGUAAUAGGUAAUAAUAAAUACAAUAACAUUAAAAAUGAGAAAAGGUAAGAAAAAUGACUAAAAUUAAAAUAAAAUCGAAGUUAUGGGGCCAAUUUAAAAUAAAAACAAAGAAAAGGGACUUAAUUGUAACACAUGUGCAACUUGGAGGGUCAAAAGCGCAAUAAACCCAGGUAUUAAAACGCUGCGCAGCGUGGGGACCAGAAUGAAUUCGGGGCAAAACCAUGGGGCCAAAUUAAAAAUAAAAAAAAACCUUGAUUGUAAACUCCCAGAAAAGCGGAAGGGCUAGAAGUGCAAUUAGCCCUUCCAAAGAAAAACACGCGGAUCCUCCUUGGUGCGGGUCGGGUCGACCCGACCCGCUUCCAAAACGACGUCGUUUUAUUUACUUGGGGGGGGACCAAAACGCACCGUUUUGGUCCCCUAUAUAAGUUAAAAAUUUUGCUUUUUUUCUCAUUUGUACAGCUAAAAGGAAAAAAAAAGAAGAUGAGAGAAGGGAGAGAGGAGAAGGGGGGAAAGGGGAGAGCUCCGGCCAGGGGGUCACCGGUCCGGUCACCGGAGUCUCGCCGGCGCCGGCCACCGUGCACGGUGGCCGAAAAUUCGAAAAGGUCAAAUUUUUUCUCUUUUUUUAUUGUUUGUAUUAUAUUGUUAUUUUAUAUUUUUUAGUAUAUAUAUAUGGGAAAAUAGAACAAAAGACAAAACAAGAAUAGAUUCACAACCACCUUAGGUUUCCGGUUCUGAUUUUUGACUUGUUGAUUCACUGAUUUUUGGGUGUUCAAAUCUCUGCCUUUUGAUGUUAAGAUCGUAGUAUUUCGGAUAUCAAUUGUUUGCUUUUUGGUUAAGAAAUCGAAAGAGAGAAGAGAAAAAAAAGGGUCCCCCCAAAAUACAAACGAUUCUUCCCUUUGAAAUCUCCAAAAAAAAACAUAAAAAUCCCCCCUCUAUUACAUUCAGAUCUGGCAUUUAUAGCCAUUUCAAUACAAUAUUUUAAAUUUCUUGCCAUUGCUUCCUGCCGUCUGCCUCUGUCUUAGUGUUUGCUUUCUUUUUUUGUCUUAUUCUGCAGGUGAUGGAAAUCAACAGGUGGGCGCACAUGGAGGAGUUGGUGGGAGUGUCAGACGCGUGGGGCGUGGUGGCCAAGGCUGAGGGGCAUGGUGGCCGACAUGGUGGCAUGGAGAGCUGGGGUGCCAGGGGUUUGCUGCUGAAAAACCUUAAGCAAGUGGGCUGUUAUUUGGGCUAGGGUUUAUUUUUGUUGGCCCGUUGGGUUUGUUUUAUUUUUGGGUUGUUGUAAUUGGUUUGGGCUUGUUAUUUGGGUACUAGGCUGUUUAGGUUAGGGUAGGUUAGUUGGGUUUUGGGGUGGCCCAAAAUUGGCCUGUACAUGUAUAUACUAGUUUUGAAUGUUACUAAUUUUAUGUGUCCAAAUGUAAUUUUAUGAUUUUUAAGAAGGGUAAGUUAUUGUCACUUUAAAAUGAAGUAUUUUGGUCACUUUAAACUUUUUUCUUAAUUUAGUUAUCCUAAAUAAGAUAAUUGUGUGAGUUGGUCAUUUCCAUUAAAAUUUUCGUUUGCUUUUAAUGAAUUAUUGACGCAGCAUUUUGAGUGAUUGACACGUGACAUCUUUUUGUUGACUUUUGACUAAAUUUUAGGGUUCUCCUUAUAAUUAGUCCAAAACUUUAGUUAAAAGUCAAUAGAAAAUUACUACAUGUCAUUCAUUGAGCUAAUGUGCCAUGUAGUAAUUUGUUAAAAGAAAACGAAAAUGUUAAGAACGGUAAAUAAUUCGCACAAUCAUCUUAUUUAAAUUUUAUAGAGUGAUCACUAAACUUUAGUCAAAAGUCAAUAAAAAAAUAUCACAUAUCAAUCAAUUAAUGAGCUAAUGUGCCAUGUAGCAAUAUGUUAAAAAUAGAUAAAAAUGUUAUCAACAACAAAUAAUUCGUACAAUUAUAUUAUUUAAAGUGAUUAAAUUAAAAAAAAAUUAAAAUAACUAAAAUAAAAUAAAUCUAUUUUAGAGUAAAAAAAAUUGUAAUUUACCAUUUGAAAUAUAUAUUUCAUGAAAAUAUCUUAAAAGCCACAACAAGUGACACAGAACUUGUCGGACCAAAAUAAAAAAACCCUUAAAUCUCGUAAACUGGCCGACGCCGACGCCGACGCCGACGCGGCUCAGGCGCUCACUCACCUACAGCAUCUCCCUUGAAGUAGUAGUCCCACAAUUUAUAUAUUCUAAUUGCAUUUCAUUUGUGAUUUCUGCGGAUUUCGAUUCCAACGAUAUAUAUAAUAAACAUUUCGAGGUCUAUAUAUAUAUAUAUAAGAACAGAUCGUUGACUAUGAGCUCAGACACAUGCGGCGGAGGGUCGCCGGCGCAGGGAUCUAAUGAGAAAGGUAGCUCGACAUCGUCGGUGGACAAGCAAAGGGAUAAGGCGAGGGUGAGUAGGACUUCGCUGAUCCUAUGGCAUGCUCAUCAGAACGAUGCCGCCGCUGUCCGUAAGCUUCUCGAGGAGGAUCGCUCUUUGGUUCAGGCUAGGGACUAUGACAACCGUACUCCUCUCCACGUUGCUUCGCUCCACGGUUGGAUCGACGUUGCCAAGUGCCUCAUCGAUUAUGGCGCCGAUGUCAACGCCCAAGACCGCUGGAAGAAUACGGUGCUACUUCUACUUUUCGUUUUUUUGUCUCAUUUUAUCUGUUUUUAGGUUUUUACCGUUUCCAUGGUCUUCUUUUUCCGGAUUUAAUUUAAAAGUUCCUUUUCCCGAUAAUUGUAGCCUUUAGCUGAUGCAGAAGGAGCUACGAAGCAUAAUAUGAUUGAGUUCUUGAAAUCACAUGGAGGAUUAUCUUAUGUAAGUCAGCUUUUUUAUUUUGCAAUUUUUCAUUUCUCGAGUAUUUUGUUAGUUAUUUUCCUCCAAUAUUUAGUCUAAUUUUAGAGUUCUUGAGAUGUCUGUUCUUCGAUUUGCAUUCCUUCGUUGAGACAAGCCUUAACAGUAUGGUGAUGAAUGAUUAGUUUCUGAAAAUACCACUUUUAGUAUAUUAUUUAGUCCAAGGAACGAGUCAAAAUUUUAGAUAUUCAGACUUACUUGAAAUUUUGGAUGGCGUUUAACUUUCCAACAGCUUUCCCUAGUUUCUAUUAAUCCAUCUUUAAGAUAUUCUUUGUUUGAAUGCCAAAAAGACAUCCUUACUGUCGUUCAUUUGAAGUUUGCUGACCUUGUCUAAGGUAUAUCAAAAUGAUGGCUGUUUGUUCACAAUGUUAUGUGAUGUUUAAACUUUACAGUACCUAUGAACAAUUUCCUUAAGACUACGAUGCACACUGGUUUUGGUUCUUAAUUCUUGUUUGUUAUCCCAUUUGGUCUGAUUAUACUGGAGCUGGUUAAACAAGUUCAAUUGAUUAAACACUUCUAGACCUUGUUAGGUUUGCAUUUUAACUGCUUUUAUGGGCUGAAGUUGAACUUUUAAUUAUUGCAGGGCCAAAAUGGAAGCCAUUUUGAAUCAAAGCCUGUUCCACCCCCUCUACCAAACAAGUGUGACUGGGAAAUUGACCCUUCUGAGCUGGACUUCUCAAAUUCAAACAUCAUAGGGAAGGUGUGCUUUCAAUUUCUUAAUGUUACUAAUUUUCAGAGCUGCACUUGCUUGCCAUGCAUGCAAACUGUUUAAAGUGCAAAACCAUAUUGAGAAAAUUUUUUGCUUCAAUUGUUGCUUGAUGUACCUGUCUUGAUUUUAGUCUUUGCUUGAUAAGAAGGAUGGAAUUUUUUAUCCAACGUUUAGGUUCAUAACCACCUUCCACCAUUUAGCUUAACCAUUGAAUUAAAAAUUAUUUCUUCCUCUUUCUGAUGAUCCCAACCAAGCAAAGCCUUAAUUCACUUACUGUGAAUAGGAUCCGGUGUCUUCUAUUGUUUUGUUUGGAAGUGCUUGUAAUUGUUAAUCAAAUCAGAGAGUGCUGCUUAUCAGGGGUUUAGAUGCGUGGUGUUUUCCAAAAUAGGUAAUAAAGAUUCUCUUAUGACUAGCAUUAUGAUAAUCACCACUUUGGCAAGAUUGUAAUCAUUUGAUGGAACGGAGGUUUAAUCCGUCUGAAUUUAAUAGUCAUCAUUGACAAUUACAUCAACAUCGGCCCUAAUCAGGACAUGUUCUUUGGAAGUAUGAUCCGAUCUCUCUGUAUUUGGAGAUGACUGAAUGUACAGAUCCUUUUCUGCUUGCUUGAAAAGUUAGAAAGGUUGGUUAUAAUUAAAUUGGUAUUUCAGAAUAUGCUUCUGUGGGCGAACCUAAGUUUGAAUUAGCUGUCAAACGACUUUAUGGGUUUUCAUUGUUAGUGUGUCCCUUUGAUGUGUAAGUUCCAUCUGGCUGUUCGGAACUUGAAUUUAUAUACGAGCUGCUAAUAUUCUGGGCAUCAGCAGUUCAACAUGCAAGUAACUUGAUUCAUCUUCCUUGUGUUAUCCGGUAUAUGUGCUUUCACUGACUAAUCUCAUACUGCCAGGGUUCAUUUGGUGAAAUUUUAAAAGCCAGUUGGCGAGGAACACCUGUAGCUGUCAAACGCAUUCUUCCAUCACUUUCAGAUGACAGAUUAGUGAUGUAAGGCCUCUAUGUUUUGAAUAUAUAUAUUGUUAGCAUCGAGGCCCUUUCCCAUGAAUGUUUGCUUUCUUUGUUGUGUGCCAUAUGCUCAAAAUUAUGUUCUCAUUGACAAUGAAUAGUGACUGAAGGAAAAUAUAAAAUUGACAUGAUUUAUCCAAGAAGGCAUGAAACAUUUUCUUUGAUGGCUCAUAGUUCUUGCCUCUCCUUGGUGUAAUUUGGUUAAAAUUUUGAAGUUGCUUCCAAAUGUCAUAGGGUUAAUCUGACACUUGUCAUAGCUAUGAUUAAUUUCUUCUCAAUCUUGUUUUUUAUUGUACUAAGAAUGCAAUUCUUUGUGUGGGUUCUGCUGUUCUGAUUCAGUCAGGAUUUCCGGCAUGAAGUGAAGUUGCUUGUAAAGCUCCGCCAUCCUAAUAUUGUUCAAUUCCUCGGAGCUGUCACUGACAGGAAGCCUCUUAUGUUAAUUACUGAGUAUUUAAGAGGGGUAUGUUACUGCACAUAUGUUGUUUUCCCUGAUAGUUUAGUUCUAUCUGUAGAAUAUUUUAUUAGAAAUCUUAAAUUUUACUUUAAUUACUUGUAAUUAUGUGCUAUUACAGGGUGAUCUUCAUCAGCAUCUCAAGGAAAAGGGUGCACUUCAUCCAUCAACUGCCAUCAACUUUGCUUUGGACAUUGCUAGGUAUAUGAGAAUUCUUCUACUCUAAGUUGUAUUGCCGGUGCAGCACUCCAUGUCAUGUUCAUGGUAUCCAAGUAAAACUUGGUGAAAAAGAGCAUACAAUAAAUCACGUUUUCUUAAUUAGGAUAAAAUCGUUAAUUUUCUUUGGUUUUGAACAACUUCUGUUGCUUCUGACAAGGAGCUACUCUGCAGAAUAUGUAUUAGCUACAUGACUGCAUUGAAUUUUCUCUCGUAUGUAUACUAUUUUGCUAAUCUGGAUUUUAUGAAUUUUGUUGCCAGGGGUAUGGCUUAUCUUCACACUGAGCCAAAUGUGAUUAUUCAUCGGGACCUAAAACCGAGGUGAGUCAGUUGCUAUUUCAGUUUUGCUGUGCAAAGGAUCCUGUUUUUGUUCUUAUUGUUUCUAGGCUCUAUGCAAUUACAUUGAAUGCACGCAUAUGUUGUAUAAAUUACUUUCUUGAAUUUUGAAUGUUUAAUGCACUUUUUUUAAUAUCUGAAAACACUAAAUAUUUUCUGAUUUAUCUGGUUGAUUACUUUUCUUUUUUGCUUCAAUGAUUGAAAAUUUUGAAUUACAUCGACUUUUUCAUGUUAAAAUUCAUUUCUUUUUAUCAGGAAUGUGCUUUUAGUCAACUCUAGUGCAGACCAUUUGAAAGUCGGAGACUUUGGACUGAGCAAGCUCAUCAAAGUUCAAAAUUCUCAUGAUGUCUACAAAAUGACUGGCGAGACAGGGAGUUGUGAGUGUCACUUAUAGAUUUCCUUUGGAUAAAAUAUGAUCCUCAGAUUCUUACUUUCUUUUACAUUAUCUGGAAUUGGAAUAGAUCGUUAUAUGGCUCCUGAAGUUUUCAAGCACCGGAAAUAUGAUAAAAAGGUUGAUGUUUUCUCCUUCGCAAUGAUACUUUAUCAGGUAGUCUUACUCCUCACUUGUGAUGAAGUUGAUCAUGAAGUAUUUUUGAGAAUACUUCUAAUAAUGCAUGUUAUUUUUACUUGGACUAGAUGCUUGAAGGAGAUCCACCUUUGUCAAAUUAUGAACCUUAUGAAGCAGCUAAGUAUGUUGCAGACGGACACCGUCCUAUUUUUCGGUCAAAAUCAUACCUCCCUGAACUAAGAGAGUAAGCCAUCCAUACAAUUUUCUACUUCACUAAAAACUUUUUGCAGUUUGUCUACAUGUUCAUGUUCCAACCAUAACUCGAGUUUUAAAACAAUAAGUUGGUUAAUACUUAAUAUAAACUAUCAUGUCUGCAUGAAGAUCUGCAUAUUGCUACUAUUUAUUUAUUACUAAUUAGCAUCUUGACAGCUACCACACAUUGAAGUACUUGUGUUUGACGCAUACCCGAGCAUAGAUAUAGGGAUAUGACUCAACUUUAAGAAAAAUGAGCAUAUCUGUGUCAAACAUACCUUUCGCCCUUUGUUUCGAAGAUGUUUAGUGAUAUCUUUUCUUAUUGUUUUCUUUUUUCUUGAAUCUUUCUUAGCUUAACAAGCCAGUGUUGGGCUGCUGACAUGAACCAAAGACCUUCAUUCUUGGAUAUUCUCAAGAGGCUGGAAAAGAUCAAGGAAAAUGUACCUUGAGAUCAUCCUUGGAAUAUAUUCAGCACAUGACAUUGGAAGAUUCCAUGAAACUAAUACGGAGGGUAUACAUCUUUCCUCCGCCCACAUCCCGCUUGGCCAUUCCUGCAGAUGGUAUUGUGAAUGCACUCGGUAAGUAGCUUUGUGAUGAUAGAUUUUUCCGUGACCGGAUUUCAUCUAUUUGUUCCUGAAUUCAACCAUGAACUAGGUGUGUCUUUAUUUCGACUAUUACUUCUCACAUGGAUUGGAAUUAUAUAAAAAUGUUUACUCAUCUUGCAGAGAUUUAUUUUUCAACCUUCAAUUGUAAUUCCUUAUAAUCAAUAUUGAUUAUAAGAAGUAAUAAUAGACAAUAAAAUCCUACGUUGUAUUUUCUGUAUGAAAAUUGUUGGACAAAGCAAAUUCUAAUUGCAUAAAGUUAGUUAUAUAUGUAAGUAUUUUAUAUAUAUAUAUUUUGCACUUAAUUAAUUAUACUCACUUGAUAAAGGUUUGUAUAUUAGGGAUAAGAACACUUCGAUAAAGAUGCCUAAAUUUUAGGAUCUUAUUCAGCGGGCAUACCAUCCAUGUUAGGACUCAGUUGGCCUAAAUGUAGCUUUGAUCUUUGGGUGUCUGAUACUGUAUGUGUUAGAUGCGAGCAUGUUCAAUAUUUUUAGGGUUUUUUCCUCCAUUGUAGGAGCUUGUUUAGCAAGCAUCCCAUGUGACUUAAUACUCAUUUUGGCAUAGAUAUAUUUGUGCCACUUGUAUUCGAGUGUGUGUGUUAAAAACACAAAUGUAUAUCUCUAAUAUAGGGUAUAUGCAACUUUUUAACUUUUGUUUUUCAGAGGAUCAGUGAACCUGAGGAAAAAACCCCGAAGAGAAUAUAAGGUUUAAGAAUUAUUGACCAACAAAAUAUAAGAAAGGUACGGUUACUGUCGUUUACGGAAAUAACUUCUAUUUGAUUUCAUUUUAGAGAGCAGUCAGAAUUUCUACAAAUAACUAUUAAGCACGUUAGAUAGAGGAUUAUACACUUAUGAACUUUUUUAGUUUUUUUAGGCAUAAUUAUUUAUUUGGGCUUUUCAUUUUUUUUUUCGUUUUUAAAAUAGAUAGAAAAAAAUAACGUUUGUUAAUUUUGUUGAUGUUGCAUCCACAUGGGUUAUUACGUGGAUGACAUAUCAGUAUUUAAUUAAUUUUUUAAAAUUUUAAAAUUUUAAAAAAUAUAUUGUUUUAAAUAAUUAAAAAAGCAUUAAAAUUAUUUUAAAAUUAAAAAAAGUUAAUCUUUUUUAAAUUUAAAAAAUUAAUUAAAAGCUGAUCUGUCAUCUACAUGGCAAUACACGUGUAUGGCACAUUAACAAAGUUAACAAACGAUAAUUUUUCCAUCUAUUUUGGGAUAAUUUGACAAAAAAUACAAAUUUACGAGUUAAAAGGGACAAAAAAAAUUAAAUUGAAUAGUAAAAAAAUCAUUAUACCUAAUUUUUAAAAAUUAUAUAAUUCAUAAAAAUGUAUUUUUUAAAAUAUUAAACGAUUCUAUUACUCAUAAGUGUUAAGGUUAGCGUAACUGAUUUAAAUGAUGAAAAAUCCUUUCUAAAAUUUUGUAAGCAUUAAUCAAUAAGGGUUAUGUUAUUUUGAGUUUGAAUUCAGCACUCAUCAACUAAAUCACUCGUGUCUUUUUAAAUUUUCACUAUUUCAAUAUUUACCUCUCAAAAAACACAUUAAACUCUUCCUACUAUUUUAAAAUUUUAUAUAAUACCUUCUAAUCAUAUAAUUGUUUGUGUUGUUUUGGUACAAUUAUCAUUCAAACCGAAAUUAUUUUUAAGAUAAAUAAACACUCAAUCAAUAAGCGACAAUUUAAGGGUUUUUGUAUUUUAAAAUUAUUUAUAAAAAAUUGAUAAUGUUAUUUUUAUUAUUAAUAUGCAAUAAUAUGUAUUUUUUAAUGUUAUAUAUUAUUUUUAUUUCCAUCAUUGAGAUGUUAUAUGUAUUAGUGAAUUAUUAAGUUGAAAUUAUAUUUUGGUCACUCAAUUUUUAAAAAUUACACAAUAGCUACUAUCGUUAUCAAUUUGUUACAUUUUGAUCAUUUGUCUAUUAACUUCUACUACCCCUUAAUGUAAUGAUGACAUGAUAUGUUAACUCAAUGCGUUUAUAAUUAAUUUGAUCCCUAAACUAUUGUGAAAUUCAUUGUAGAUAUUUUUCAGAGACCAUCACAUCUAAAAAUAACACAAAAUUUAACUUAUUCUCACUAUACCUAAAGUUGCAAUUGUCAUUGUAGGUGCCUUUUACAUAUUUAUCAAUUUCCUAUCACAAACAAGCCAACUCCUUUAUAUAGAAUGGUCCAAAUUAUGAAUGCUCCAUUUGUUAAAAUAUUAAAUACAAGUAGCAUUAUCACUUGUUAUUAAAAUUAUAAGUUCUAUCAAAUAAUAUAUUAAGCUUAUAAGAAGAAAUGCGUGUGAAGCGCCAAAUUUUUUUGGCAUUAGUGCUUCUCCAAUCAGCCACAUAAUGUAGACUCUAUCGCUGAUAGUUAUAGUUAAUUCUCUCUGUAUGGGAACUCUUUGAAAAAGUAAACAGUUAGUCAUGAAAUGUGUUUCAUUCCCAUGAAUGAAGACCAAACCCCCGGUUACAUUAUUAAGGGACAAAGUGAGUUACCACCAUGCCAUACCUCAUCGUUGCGAAUUAACUCUCUAACCAUGUAAAUUUCACUUGCUUUGUAAGACCCCUAACCCGUAUCCAUCGUCGGAUCAGGGUUACGGAGCAUUAUCGAAAUUUACAGAACAAAUACAGUUAAUUCAUAACAUUUACUAUUCAUAUUCGAAAUUAUACAUAAUCAAUCGUAUUGUCCCUCAAAUGGACCCUCGAGGCCCAAAUUAUGCAUUAGAAAUAAGUCGGGACUAAACUUAGAACUCAAGGAAUUUUUUGCGAAAUUUUAAAAUUUUUCGUAUGUGCAAGGGACACACACCCGUUUGGCCAGGCCAUGUGGCUUACAUGGCCAAGUGACACACCCAUGUUCAAGAAACUCAUAUAACGAGAAGCUUAUUCGGGCUUUAUAACGGGAAGCUUAUAAGAGCCAUAUUCAGGAAACUCAUGCGAGCCAAUAUCGAAUAGCUCCGAGGAGCCAUUAACAGGAAGCUCCAGAUAGCUUCUUAUCGGGAAGUUCAAGCAAGCCUUAUCGGGAAGCUCACAAAGAGCCAAUUAACGAGAAGCUCACAAAGUGCCAUAUUUGGGAAGUUCAUAAGAGUUGUGCUGUGUCCACAACACAUGUAGGAUCACAACCAAUCGGAAUGCUUUGAAGAGUUAUUAAUGGGAAGCUCGCAAGAACCAUAUAAUUGAAACUCGAGAGGGCUAAUAAUAGGAUGCUCUUUCGAGCUGUGGUGUGUCCGCAACAUAUGCAGGACUACAACCAAUACGGGAAACUUGUAUCCAUUGAUUUUCAUUUGUUCAAACGAGACUUAACAUUUAUCGGGUAUUUUCGGAUAUUUAAUCAAUUUCAUAUACAUGGAAAUUAUACAAAUUUUCAUAUAUAACAUUUAAUUCAAACAUAAAAAUAUACACAAUUUAGUUACACAAACUUACUGUUGGAUCGCCGGCACCCCUACGGCGCAGCGGAAAAAUUUAAUAAUCGGUGACCCUAACCACGGAUCCAUGUGUGAGGAACGAAUCGGGGUGAAAAGGGUUACGAAAUUACCUAAUGUUUGUUCUGAGUAGACAACAACUUCUCAACAAUGUGUAGUCUGAUCUACAAUCGAACCAAGUCGCAAUCUAUCGAGACUCCGACCUCUACAUAAUCCACCCAGUUGACUACGAACGGAAAAAAUCCCCAAAACGGUUUUGAAAGUAAUUUUUCUUUGACGGCUGCUAGACACAAAAACAAAGAAAAACGGGAUUCUUAUAUCCUGUUAUUUUAGGGUUUUUAGGAUUUAAAUAAAUAUAAUAAUAUUUUAAACCGAAAAUUAUAAUUACAUUAAUUAUAAUAUAAUUUCGGUAAACCAUAUAUUUAUUUGAAUUCAUAUGCUAACCAAAUUCAUGUCCUCAUUAUGCGUACAACAAACUUGUACAUAAUGUGUUGGAAAUUUGAUUAUCGAAUUAAAUUAAUUCUAUAAUUAAUUUAAUUCAAGCAAAACCCAAAAAUAAUACCAACUAUGGUUUAUUCCGUUCAUUUCAACUAUAGGGUGUGACCCUGUAGGUUCCUGUAACAUUAGUAGUAAUAAUAGAACGAUUCCAAUGUUACAAACAAUGAGUGGCAUCUAGCAAUGCAUCAUUGCUACCUAAGUCACAAGAGAUCAUGAUUCGACAUAACCUUUUUUUUAUGAUUAACCUUUUAUGCAAUAAUCCUUAAGUCCUUUAUCUCUGGAUUGGACACAAGUCAUGGAAUAGUCACACUUGUAUAGUCCAUUCCAUGUUCCUUGAUACCUUAAGCAGACUACAAUAUACAAAUAAGUAUGACAUCUCAUAUCAACUUAUUCGAGCAUGGCCAUGCAUUUCUAGUCUCACUUAAUCAAGUGGCCUAAGAUAUUACUCCCAUAAUGUAGGAGGGACUUAUUCUAUAUCGACCAACCAUAUCCCUCUACAUCGAUUGUGGUAUAUCCAACAUCAGCCUUUAUAGAACAACCAGUUACGGUGUACGUUUGACUGUAUCAAAAUAUACUACUCACGAUGUUGGGAUUAUGAUGAUCUCAAAGUCUGAGGAUCAUAUACAUAUUAAUCACGAUGAGUAAUGUCGUGACAAUUACAUAAUAAUCCAGUAAACAUACUCAUAAUGGGUCAAUCCAAUAUGUUGUUCUCUAACACACAUAUUCAUGCAUCGAUUCUGACAUUCCAUAUCAAUGAUAACUCUUUAUCAUCAAUCAACUACAUGUUAGUCUUAAUGCAUUAUCGUUUUCCUAUCUAACAAUAAUACUUGACUAAGGAUCUUUUAAGAAUAAUUAUAUUAUUCUUAGGACAUUAUUAUAAAAUAGUUUAUUUAUACACACAGAAAAGGAACUGAAAUAAUAAUGAUAAUGCCUUAUAUUAAUAAACAUGAUAAAUCAAGUAUGUUAUUACAACCAUCCCAUGAUUGAUCUUUGGGCAUACUCUAACACUUACCUUGACACUUGUUCGUAUACGAAAAUAUACUAAUCCGAUACUUUUUGUUUUUCUCGAUCCAAUUCCAUACUAGAUCUAUCCGGAUCUAUACGAGUAAAUUUAACUCAAUUUAAUAUAAUUCAUAUUUUAGGCAAAAGUAUCAUUUUGCCCCUAUACUUUUAAUUAAUUCCAAUUUCGUCCCUAGGCUCGGAAAAUGAAAUUCAUGCAAUUUAAUCCCUUUUUUCAAGUCUAGCCAAAAUUUUCAUAUAACAAUAUCAGUCCAUGAAUUUCACAAAAAUCAGAAAUUUUUUUUGAAUUUUACAUCUUUUCGAUUUAGUCCAUAAAUCACAAUUUCAUGAAAAUUUCCUUUACAAAAGUUGUUUAUCUAUCAACAACCUUUCAUUUUCAACCAUAAAUUUUAAAAUUUCAGCAUACUCAUCAUUGGAAAAAUUUAAAUACUUUGUUAGCUUUGCAAAUUAAUCCCCAAAAUAGCUAAAUUAGGUUAUUACGAUCUCGGAAAUAUAAAAAUUACUAAAAACGGGACAUGAAUGCUUACCCAAUUAAGCUUGCUUGGAUUCUUUUCUCUUAGCUAGGGUUUCCAUGAAAAUAAUUUGGGGAAGAUGAUGAAAUAAAAUGAUAUUUUAUCUUUUAAUUAAUUAUCAUCUUUUAUUAUUUCCACUUUUCAAUUUAGUCCUUUUUUUUCUUAAAUUUCCAUGGAUGAAUCAUCAUAAUUAUCUACUAACUUCUGGUAAUGGUCUAUUUGCCUUAUAAGGACCUCAAAUUUUGAAUUUUAUAGUUAUUUAAUCCCUCUAGCUAUUAGAAUAUAACUUUUGCACUUUAUGCAAUUUGGUCCUUUCUAGCAAUUAAACUUGAAAUCGGUAAGAUUUUCUUAACGAAAUUUUCAUACGUCAUUCCUAUCAUAAUGCAAACCAUGCAAUACUAUUAAAAUAAUUUUUCUUUUUGACUCGAAUUUGUGGUCCCGAAACCAUUGUUCCGAUUUCACUGAAAACAGGCUGUUACAUGCUUCCUAUCCACAUUAACCUUGUUUGUGAGGUAUCUGCUAACAACGUAAUGAGUAAGUUGAGAAUCUCAACAUCACUACUUCCAAUUACCUCAUUAUUGUGAGUUGAAAGGUCUGUUAGUAGAACUAUAUCUUUCAACGUCAUUAUGGCUUCACUGCAUGAAAAAUGGAAAGUAUGAGCCUUACAUUUCUAUCAUUCAACAAUAACAUGAACAAACUUUAGCACCAAGUAGAAACCACUCAUUUGACUAACUAUAUAAACACCAUCAUGUUGGACUCUUUUUUUCACAAUGCUAGAAUAUUCACACUUAAUUUGUUGUUGUAACUUCGGUUACAUGUUUUUCUAGGGAUCUAUUGUAAAGAAGAGACCAAUAUAAAUUUUUGAAUUUCGAGUUUAGAAAAGAAUGGAGGAAAUGAGAAGGUAGAAAAUAAAAAUGGAGUGAGAUAAACGGUUUAAAGUUAAUGUUAUUGUUUUAAAGGAAUUAAUUGGAUCAUUUAAAAAGAAUUAAAUAUCAAAAUAAAAUAUUUAAAUUAACCUCGAAAUUAGACUUAAAAGGAUUGGUUAAUAAUAAUAAAAAUUGGAUGAAGUUAUUUCUCCCGUGAGUCUGCAUGAUGAGGCUGGAUUCAGACAAUAAAUCAUUGAAACGUUCGAUUAUUUUAUUUAAUUCCUUCAAGUUCUUCGAUCUUCCCGGUAACCAAACAGACCCUAUCCACUAGAGAAAACAGAAUAGAAAAGUGAAAAAUAUGCAUAAAAUUCAUACUCUACAUAUACUUUAUAUCUGUUAAAAGCCUGAAAAGGAAAAUACAAAUCUUUUCCAGUUGUUUUCUGUUCGGUCGGUGGGAUUCUUUCAUUUAUUCAAUUUAAUUCUCUUUUUCUUACCUUCAUCUGUUGGGGAUCGAUAUCUCUUUCUAGGGCUUCCUUUUUUGGGGAAAAAAAGGACGGAAAUCGCAAAGUGUGAAAAGAAAUGAUAUUUUUUUGUUGAAAUGAAGAAGCGGCAAUGAAGAGAGAAGAAGAGGAAUGGAGGUUAGAUCAGAGAAUAAUAUACAAGUGAGGUGCGACAAGAUUCCUUGUCAACUGAUUCCUAGGACUCGUCUUCAGGUCUGGUUCUUUAGAGUUUGUUCCAGCAUUUUGCUUUGGACUUGUUUGAUUCAGCUCCUUGCCGUCUGUGAGUUAUGGCACCCGCGUUUGCUUACUGGUUUAACCAAUCGGAUUCCCUGGACCUCUCGCCCUCCUCUUCGUCUUCAACACUCGCUCCAUUCCCCGCCUCCUCUUCCUCCCCCCAGUGAGUCCCCCCCCUCUUUCUGUUUUGCUUUGAAUUUGCCCUAAAUUUUUUAUUCACUUAGGAAUUUAUUUUGAAUUUGAUUAAGAGAGAAAAAGGGUCUUAGGAAAUAUGCUUGGGAAUUUUAUUCUGUUUAUGAGUAAGUUUUUUUAGGCCCUCAGAGUGAUUUUUAGCUACAAGUUUGGCAGAUAAAUUGUAGGAAUGUUUUUCUAGUUGCUACCUUGGUGUUGGCUUCAGUUUCCCAAAAUGCAUAUCACAGAUUUGAUAUUUGAAAUUGUAUUGUUUUGAUCGUUAUUUUCUCUAUUAAAGGUAUAGUUUUUCUUGUUCCCUAUCAUAUGCUGGUUCCUUUUGAUUGGCUACUUCUGCAUGUUUAGAUGAUCAAUACAAAGCAAUAUGUUGCGACAAAGAAAAGAGAUCAUCCCUUUUAUUUUCUAUCUGGAUGCUGAUCUUGCAACAUUCUGAUCGAUCAUCUUGUUACAUUUGAUAUAUUUGUUACCUUGAAGAACUACGACCUUCCCCUUUAUUUAUUUAUUUAUUUAUUCAUUUUUCUCUAGUUGCUGAUUUAACAACAUUCUGAUUACAUGUCAUAUAUUUACCUUUCUCCCAUCAUUCCACCGAUGGGGUGUCUGGGGCUCAUUAUGAUUGCCAAUUACUCAAGGAGUGCAAUCAUUGCUAUCGGAAAGGCCACAUUUCAGAUUUGAACUGCAUCACUCUGUUAUACUAGAAAAAAUUAUAACAGCAAUUUAUUUUUAUUGCUUGCUGGAAGACGGUGUAUGUUAGAUUGCUAUGUACUUUUCAGUUUGCAUUUCAUUAUAGCAUCCUUAGUUUUAUUCGUUAAUAGUUUUGCCUCGAAGCUCUAAUGCAUUCAUGCCAUCUAUGUUACCUUCAAGGCUUGUCAGCAUACCGUGGAUGCUAAAUUUCUAGGUUCUUGAUCAUCUUUCUGAAUUACUUGGGUUAAGGUACGGUUUGUAAGUUCUGCUUUCCAAAAAUUGUUAAUGGUUCAUGACUUAAGAACCUCCGUAUCUUGGUUUCUGUAAAUAUCUGACAAAUUCCAUAUAAGCACAAACUUGUGCGACCAGACAAUAUUUUGAGUCAUUAGCUUCCUUAUUAUCUAACAUGCUGGGUAAUCUUCUUGGGCAAUUGAGAAAUUUAUACCAAUACUUUGUACCUUGUAUGUGUCCCUGAAUUUUAUUGAAGGAAAUAUUUUUGCUUUCUCAGUUUGAUCUUUUGGAAAAAGUAAG
rnacentral:lncRNA from 1 species